rnacentral:misc_RNA from 1 species
GAUGAAGAACGUAGCGAACGUGCGAAACGUAAUGUGAAUUGCAGAAUUCAGUGAAUCAUCGAAUCUUUGAACGCAUCUUGCGCUCCUUGGUAGUCCGAGGAGCAUGCCUGUUUGAGUGUCGUGAAUACUCUCAACUUCAACCCUUUUUUCGGAAAGGGAGGAAGGUUGGACUUGGGUGUUUGUUGAAGUGCGAGCUUCGACUCAUCCUAAAUGCAUUAGCGAUCUGCCUCGAUCACACACAAUGUGAUAAUUAAAACUAAAGCAUUGUUUAAUGAUCAAGUCGAGACUGCUUCUAACUGUCGCAAGACAAUAACGUGCAUACAUUUGUGCAUGUCAUUUGACCUCAAAUCAGGUAGGACUACCCGCUGAACUUAAGCAUAUCAAUAAGCGGAGGA